CAGAGAUAAUAAAUACUGAAGUCAGGAGAUGAAUCCACAUCUUUCUAUCUGCAAGCCUAGAGCUCUAUCCACCUAGAAAAAAACUGUGCAUGUCAUGUACCUACUCUACUUCCUUUUCAAUCUUUCCUCCAUCUUUCUCUGAAUGCUUUACUUUAGAAAAUCUAUUAUUUCAUAAUGUUGUGUGGAUUGGAGCUCCUUCAUGUUUGAAAAAUGGCCUCAACAGUAAUACAGUGGGAAAAGUGAUGUAUAUUUCCUGUGUAACCUCAGGGAAAAAUCAUUUAAGCUCCCUAGGCCAGAAUUUCUUUAGCUGUAAAAUGAAGGGGUCAGACUAGCAGAAAGGAAGAAUUUGUUAAGUAUCCUCUAUAGAGUAAGUAUUGUGCUAAGUUUUUAAAAAAUAUUAUAUGAUCUUCACAACAACCCUGGGAAAGAGAUGCUAUAAUUAUCACUCACUGUGCAAUUGGGAUAGCUGAGGCAGACAGGUUUAAUGACUUACCUGGGGCUAGUGAGGGCCUGAGGUUGGGUUUCAAACCAGGGUCACCUAGCUAGUGAGAGUCUGAGGUUGGGUUUUAAACCAGGGUCACCCAGCUAGUGAGAAUCUGAGGUUGGGUUUUAAGUCAAGGUCACCCAGUUAGUGAGAGUCUGAGGAUGGGUUUUAAACCAGGGUCACCCAGCUAGUGAGAGUCUGAGGUUGGGUUUUAAACCAGGGUCACCCAGCUAGUGAGAGUCUGAGGAUGGGUUUUAAGUCAGGGUCACCCAGCUAGUGAGAGUCUGAGGAUGGGUUUUAAACCAGGGUCACCCAGCUAGUGAGAGUCUGAGGAUGGGUUUUAAGUCAGGGUCACCCAGCUAGUGAGAGUCUGAGGUUGGGUUUUAAAACAGGGUCACCCAACUAGUGAGAGUCUGAGGUUGGAUUUUAAGUCAGGGUCAUCCAGCUAGUGAGAGUCUGAGGUUGGGUUUUAAGUCAGGGUCACCCAGCUAGUGAGAGUCUGAGGUUGGGUUUUAAGUCAGGGUCACCCAGCUAGUGAGAGUCUGAGGUAGGGUUUUAUCCCAAGCUUAUAAAACUGUGCUUUCUCCACUGUGCUAUCUGCCUCUGAAGGUAUCCUUUAAAGUCCUUUCUGGUUCUAGAUUUAUGCCUAUGAUAAUAAUCCAUCUCUUGGCGCCCAACCUUCUGCUGAUAUACUUCUCCUCACUUAUGGGGACUGAUCCCUGGACAAAACACAAAAUCCCAUAUAUAAAGCCUAUUUAAAUUGGGGACAACCUAUAUAUUUUGAGUUCCACUGAUAAAUCCUUAGAGAAUCCACUGUUACCUUUACAACAUGAUGUUAUAUAAUACAAGU